GCCGGCAUAGCUCAGUGGUAGAGCAACUGCCUUGUAAGCAGUAGGUCCGCGGUUCGAUCCCGCGUGCCGGCUCCA
rnacentral:tRNA from 1 species